GGCCAUGUCUCGGCGAAACUCCGUUUCCCGGACGAUUACUGAAGUUAAGCGACGUCGUCGAGCUUGGUCAGUAGCUAGAUGGGUGACCGCUUGGGAAUACCAGGUACUGCAGG